rnacentral:tRNA from 1 species
GAGGGUAUAGCUCAGUGGUAGAGCACAUGCCUAGCAUGUAUGAGGUCCUGGGUUCAAUCUCCAGUACCUCCA